rnacentral:rRNA from 1 species
AUACGGAGGGGGUUAGCGUUGUUCGGAAUUACUGGGCGUAAAGCGCACGUAGGCGGAUUGGAAAGUUGGGGGUGAAAUCCCAGGGCUCAACCCUGGAACUGCCUCCAAAACUAACAGUCUAGAGUUCGAGAGAGGUGAGUGGAAUUCCAAGUGUAGAGGUGAAAUUCGUAGAUAUUUGGAGGAACACCAGUGGCGAAGGCGGCUCACUGGCUCGAUUCUGACGCUGAGGUGCGAAAGCGUGGGGAGCAAACAGGAUUAGAAACCCCAGUAGUCC